rnacentral:rRNA from 1 species
AUGCAUGUCUAAGUUCAUAUUGCCUAUAAUGGUGAAACCGCGAACGGCUCAUUACAACAGCUAUUAUUUACUUGAUUUUGAUUCCAUACGUGGAUAACUGUGGCAAUUCUAGAGCUAAUACAUGCACCAAAGCUCCGACUAUCAUUUUGACGAGCGCAUCUAUUAGAAUAAAACCAAUCGAGACUUUUUUCUUCAAUCGAGAAGAUCGCCUCGUCCAUUUGGUGACUCUGAAUAGCUUAGCUGAUCGCAUGGUCUCGUACCGGCGACGUAUCUAUCAAGUAUCUGCCUUAUCAACUUUCGAUGGUAGUUUAUGUGACUACCAUGGUUGUAACGGGUAACGGAGAAUAAGGGUUCGACUCCGGAGAGGGAGCCUGAGAAACGGCUACCACUUCCAAGGAAGGCAGCAGGCGCGCAAAUUACCCACUCUCAGCACAGAGGAGGUAGUGACGAAAAAUAACGAGACCGUACUCGAUGAGGCCGGUUAUCGGAAUGGGUACAAUUUAAACCCGUUAACGAGGAUCUAUGAGAGGGCAAGUCUGGUGCCAGCAGCCGCGGUAAUUCCAGCUCUCAAAGUGUAUAUCGGCAUUGCUGCGGUUAAAAAGCUCGUAGUUGGAUUUCAGCCUUACGACGUGGUCCAUUCAUUGAAUGCGAACUACGCCUCGUAGGCUAUUUUAAUGUUGGUUUUUCCUUACGUCGCUCUCAUCGGCAGCGUAAGGUGGCUAACGAGUUUACCUUGAAAAAAUUAGAGUGCUCAACGCGGGCUAACGCCUGAAUACUCGUGCAUGGAAUAAUGGAAUAGGAUCUCGGUUCUAUUUCGUUGGUUUUCUGAUCUGAGAUAAUGGUUAAGAGGGACAGACGGGGGCAUUCGUAUCGCUGCGUGAGAGGUGAAAUUCUUGGACCGUAGCGAGACGUCCCACUGCGAAAGCAUUUGCCAAGAAUG